CCUACGGGUGGCAGCAGUGAGGAAUAUUGGUCAAUGGGCGAAAGCCUGAACCAGCCAAGUCGCGUGAGGGAGUACUGCCCUAUGGGUUGUAAACCUCUUUUGUCGGGGAGCAACAGCCGGACGUGUCCGGCUGUGAGAUUACCCGAAGAAAAAGCAUCGGCUAACUCCGUGCCCGCAACCGCGGUAAUACGGAGGAUGCGAGCGUUAUCCGGAUUUAUGGGGUUUAAAGGGUGCGCAGGCGGAUUUUUAAGUCAGCGGUAAAAUCGUGGGGCUCAACCCCAUCCAGCCGUUGAAACUGGGGAUCUAGAGUGCGCGAGAGGUAGGCGGAAUGCGUGGUGUAGCGGUGAAAUGCAUGGAUAUCACGAAGAACCCCGAUUGCGAAGGCAGCAUACCGGUGCACAACUGACGCUCAGGCACGAAAGCGUGGGUAUCGAACAGGAUUAGAUACCCCUGUAGUC
rnacentral:rRNA from 1 species